rnacentral:lncRNA from 1 species
ACCUCAAAAUGACAAUUCAUGCAACAUGAUAUGUACAAAAAAAAAAAUAAUUCCCAUGUAAGAAAAAUUAAUCAUUGCAAUAAUGUAACUUAAUUGUUGGAUUUUUCCUACAAAGGGGAAUGUAAAGCUCUAGCUAUAGGUUAGCUUCUUUAUAGUCACUGUAUGUGGUUUAAGGUUGAUAAUUUAAAAGUUCCCAAAUUAUCUCUCAUAUCAUUGUCCAUUACUGACUAAUGAGACACUCUAAUUCUCACCCAUUACAUGCUACAAAUGAAAAAAACUCAAUAUAAUUAGAAGUAUUUUGCUAACCACUGUGAAGGCAUUAAAACUUCAGGAAAGCUUAGGUACUUUACUCACUCCUAGAGGGACAAAGCUCAAGUAUAAAGCUCUUAUUAUGCAAAUGCAUAUGAAUGACAUAAUAAACAAAAUAAAUAAAUAAAUAAAUGACAAUCUAAAAAAAAUUAAUUUUAUUAGGCUUUUGGAUAACACAAAUUUAUUUGC